rnacentral:rRNA from 1 species
UAAUAUUCCUGUACUUGGUGUUACUGCGAAGGGGGGACGGAGAAGGCUAUGUUAGCCGGGCGACGGUUGUCCCGGUUUAAGCAUGUAGGCUGGUUGUCCAGGCAAAUCCGGAUAAUCAAGGCUGAGGUGUGAUGACGAGGCACUACGGUGCUGAAGUAACAAAUGCCCUGCUUCCAGGAAAAGCCUCUAAGCAUCAGGUAACAUCAAAUCGUACCCCAAACCGACACAGGUGGUCAGGUAGAGAAUACCAAGGCGCUUGAGAGAACUCGGGUGAAGGAACUAGGCAAAAUGGUGCCGUAACUUCGGGAGAAGGCACGCUGGUGUGUAGGUGAAGUCCCUGCGGAUGGAGCUGAGACCAGUCGAAGAUACCAGCUGGCUGCAACUGUUUAUUAAAAACACAGCACUGUGCAAACACGAAAGUGGACGUAUACGGUGUGACGCCUGCCCGGUGCCGGAAGGUUAAUUGAUGGGGUUAUCCGUAAGGAGAAGCUCUUGAUCGAAGCCCCGGUAAACGGCGGCCGUAACUAUAACGGUCCUAAGGUAGCGAAAUUCCUUGUCGGGUAAGUUCCGACCUGCACGAAUGGCGUAAUGAUGGCCAGGCUGUCUCCACCCGAGACUCAGUGAAAUUGAACUCGCUGUGAAGAUGCAGUGUACCCGCGGCAAGACGGAAAGACCCCGUGAACCUUUACUAUAGCUUGACACUGAACAUUGAGCCUUGAUGUGUAGGAUAGGUGGGAGGCUUUGAAGCGUGGACGCCAGUCUGCGUGGAGCCAACCUUGAAAUACCACCCUUUAAUGUUUGAUGUUCUAACGUUGGCCCCUGACCGGGGUUGCGGACAGUGUCUGGUGGGUAGUUUGACUGGGGCGGUCUCCUCCCAAAGCGUAACGGAGGAGCACGAAGGUUAGCUAAUCCUGGUCGGACAUCAGGAGGUUAGUGCAAUGGCAUAAGCUAGCUUGACUGCGAGCGUGACGGCGCGAGCAGGUGCGAAAGCAGGUCAUAGUGAUCCGGUGGUUCUGAAUGGAAGGGCCAUCGCUCAACGGAUAAAAGGUACUCCGGGGAUAACAGGCUGAUACCGCCCAAGAGUUCAUAUCGACGGCGGUGUUUGGCACCUCGAUGUCGGCUCAUCACAUCCUGGGGCUGAAGUAGGUCCCAAGGGUAUGGCUGUUCGCCAUUUAAAGUGGUACGCGAGCUGGGUUUAGAACGUCGUGAGACAGUUCGGUCCCUAUCUGCCGUGGGCGCUGGAGAAUUGAGGGGGGCUGCUCCUAGUACGAGAGGACCGGAGUGGACGCAUCACUGGUGUUCGGGUUGUCAUGCCAAUGGCACUGCCCGGUAGCUAAAUGCGGAAGAGAUAAGUGCUGAAAGCAUCUAAGCACGAAACUUGCCCCGAGAUGAGUUCUCCCUGAGACUUUAAGUCUCCUGAAGGAACGUUGAAGACGACGACGUUGAUAGGCCGGGUGUGUAAGCGCAGCGAUGCGUUGAGCUAACCGGUACUAAUGAACCGUGAGGCUUAACCUU